UACGGAGGGGGCUAGCGUUGUUCGGAAUUACUGGGCGUAAAGCGCACGUAGGCGGCUUUGUAAGUUAGAGGUGAAAGCCCAGGGCUUAACCCCUGGAAUUGCCUUUAAGACUGCAUCGCUAGAAUCGUGGAGAGGUGAGUGGAAUUCCGAGUGUAGAGGUGAAAUUCGUAGAUAUUCGGAAGAACACCAGUGGCGAAGGCGACUCACUGGACACGUAUUGACGGCUGAGGUGCGAAAAGCGUGGGGAGCAAACAGG
rnacentral:rRNA from 1 species